rnacentral:rRNA from 1 species
GAUGAACGCUAGCUACAGGCUUAACACAUGCAAGUCGAGGGGAAACGACAUCGAAAGCUUGCUUUUGAUGGGCGUCGACCGGCGCACGGGUGAGUAACGCGUAUCCAACCUGCCCAUCACUUGGGAAUAACCUUGCGAAAGUAAGACUAAUACCCAAUGAUAUCCCACGAAGGCAUCGGAAUGGGAUUAAAGAUUUAUCGGUGAUGGAUGGGGAUGCGUCUGAUUAGCUUGUUGGCGGGGUAACGGCCCACCAAGGCAACGAUCAGUAGGGGUUCUGAGAGGAAGGUCCCCCACAUUGGAACUGAGACACGGUCCAAACUCCUACGGGAGGCAGCAGUGAGGAAUAUUGGUCAAUGGGCGAGAGCCUGAACCAGCCAAGUAGCGUGCAGGAAGACGGCCCUAUGGGUUGUAAACUGCUUUUAUAAGGGAAUAAAGUGGGUCACGUGUGACUUUUUGCAUGUACCUUAUGAAUAAGGCCCGGCUAAUUCCGUG